rnacentral:rRNA from 1 species
AUGGUUCAGUUGUACGCUGCAGAGCAAGGGGAGCCAAUCAUCACCGAAGUGCCGGUGCCUGCUGAAGUUGAGGCCCUGAUCAGCGAGUUUGGACACCUGUUUGAGGAACCUAAAGGACUACCACCACAGCGCUCUUUCGAUCACACAAUUCCUCUCCUGCCCGGGGCGAAACGUGUCAACGUGCGCCCAUAUCGAUAUAGCCCGGCCCAGAAAGAUGAGAUUGAGAAACAGGUUGCAGACUUGCUUGCCCAAGGUAUCAUCACGCCCAGCUCCAGCCCCUUCGCUUCACCAGUGCUGCUCGUUCAGAAGAAGGAUUUGUCUUGGCGUUUCUGCGUGGACUACCGACAACUCAAUGCGGUGACAGUUAAGAACCGCUACCCUCUGCCUGUCAUCGACGAGCUACUGGACGAGCUGGCUGGUUCCACGCUGUUCACCAGUCUAGAUCUCCGGGCCGGAUAUCAUCAGAUUCGUAUGAAGCCUGAGGAUGAACAAAGACCGCUUUCAAGACCCACCAUGGCCACUUUGAGUUCAAGGUUUUGGCGUACGGCCUCACGGGGGGACCGACGACUUUCCAAGGAGGAAUGA